rnacentral:lncRNA from 1 species
GAAGGGAAGUAGUUCACCUAAUAUAUAUAUAUAUUCAUCAAUAUAAAUAAGUGACCAGCUCAUCAAUGUAUGCUUAUGUGCACAACAGGAAAACAAAGAGAAAAACAGAGAAUAUAUAUACCUCCUCAUCUCUAUGCAUAAAAUUCAUAAAACCUUCAUGGUGAUUAUUGUGAUGAGCACAUUUGGGAGCAUUAGCUGGAAGCUGCAGAUAAUUCGGUCCAAGACGGUGCCUUUGAGUGUCAGAAUAGGAGAAGAUUCUAGUUUGAAGCAACUUAUCAUCUGAAUAAUAGAUGCCAGGGACAAUGAGGGAAGGGCAGAAGGCUAACUGCUCAUUCUCAGCAAAGAAGUUAUCGAUGUUCUUGUUUAACACCAUUCGACCCACCGGCUGCAACGGGAAGAUGUCCUCUGGCCAUGUCUUGGUUACAUCAAGUGGGUCAAAAUCAAACCUGUCCUCAUGAAGAGGAUCCAUUAUUUGAAUGAACAGCUUCCAUUCAGGGUAGUUUCCGGCUGCAAUCGAGUCAUAAAGAUCUUGUGUGGCAUGACUGUGAUUCGCGCCACCUACUCUUAUGGCUUCAUCCUCCAACAAAGAUUUUACACCACAAGUGGGUUUCCAAUGGAAUUUCACAUAGUGUGACUUCCCAGCUUUGUUGAUUAGUGUGUAGGUAUGAACACCAGAGCCAUCCAUGUGCCUAUAAUCCUGUGGAACACCGAUGUCAUCAAACAGGAAGGUGAACAUGUGCAAGCUUUCGGGAUGGUGCGAAAAGAAGUCCAGAAUCCUCCAGUUUUCCUGAAUGUGGGACUUCGGGUUUGGUUUAAGAGCAUGGACCAUAUCAGGGAACUUCAUUCCGUCACGGAUGAAAAACACAGGGAAAUUGUUCCCCACUAGAUCAAAAUUUCCCUGGUUCAAUAACAAGGAAUCCAAAAAAGCAAACAAUUAACUUCACUUCUGAUAUAUGGUAUGUCUAACUCAAAUACGUAAACAUAUGUGAACAUAUAUAUACUUUCUCUGUAUAUGCAGUUAGCAUGUAUAUAGACACAUACCUCUCGCGUGUAAAAUUUCACAGCGAAACCUCUGGGGUCUCUCAAAGUUUCAGGACUACCGCGUUCAUGAAUAACCGUGGAGAAUCUAACAAUGAGAGGGGUCUGGACUCCAGGGGCACGAAGGAAAUCAGCACAUGUGAGCUGAGAUAUAUCAUGAGUGACCUCGAAGAACCCUUUCGCACUGGCUCCUCUAGCAUGAACAACACGUUCAGGUAUGCGUUCUCUAUCGAAAUUAGCUAGCUUCUCCACCAAAUGAUAGUCUUCAAGGAGAACUGGACCUGUCAUAUAAUAUAACCGUUAUUCAACCUCUUGAUUUUAUCAUUUCACGUAUCUGUUGCUUUUGCUUAUGCUUUGACAUGGGGCUAGCCCUCCCCAAAUCAUAUAGAACCAACUGAAGAACUUCACCAGCAAUACUGGCUGGCAUGACAUAUCUUCAACUUCAUAUUUUAAUGCACUAAAUAGAAACUUUUAGAAUCAACUUGAACUUUGAAAAAACAAAUUCAUUACUUUCCUCACAAACCAUAGAUUGAUGUUAAAAUAUUGACAAAAUCAACACCUUAAUAAGGCUAAAAGCAGUAUAUGUAAACUCCAUAUUUACCUAUGAAAACACUACAAGGAAUAAACAUGGUAAAGGCACACCAUGGAUCAUAUAUAAUUACCUC